AAACAAUUGUCUUGCCUGAGGAGAUUUGGCGGUUGCCCCAAGAUGGCGGACUCGGUUGGCGUGCGACAAGCACGAGCUGAAAAGUGCCGAGAAUAUAAGAAGUUCGUGAUUCUGUGUUAAAUCGGUAGUGCGAGUUUCAUUUGUGGACAACUUACAGACCGUUAACGAAGAAAACGCUCUCGGAUAACAUAUAUAUGGAAUGCUAAGUUUUAGAAAGAACCAUAGGGGAUCUGAUUCUGGUUAAACUUUUACGCAGAUUUCGAAACCUUGGGGCGCUAAGAUCGUAAUCGAUCGUCCUUGUACAAACCAAGAUGAUCGUAAAACAAGCUAAUAGGAGCCACCUGGGACACUUUCAAUAACCUUGUUUCGAAAUUGAGCAAGCUCAUUCUCAAAUACGCGGCACCGCUUAUUAGUAAGGAAAAGUGCCACUCUGGUAGAAGUAUGAUCGAUGUCCACAUAGACAAAUAUGGGUCAUGAUGUAAAAACUGACUUGUCGUAGCUCGAAUAAUAUUUGCUUGUGCGCAUUUUCUUCAAAGUUAUUGACGAUCUAAAUUCACAAUUAACACAAUUAUUUCAUUAUUUCGUUAAUUACAAUGAAGGAGGAGCAUAAGAUGAGAACGAAAUAAUGAAUUAAAGAAAUACGAAGAUUGCAAAAAAGAUAUGAAG